rnacentral:rRNA from 1 species
GACGAACGCUGGCGGCGUGCCUAAUACAUGCCAGUAGAACGCUGAAGGAGGAGCUUGCUUCUCUGGAUGAGUUGCGAACGGGUGAGUAACGCGUAGGUAACCUGCCUGGUAGCGGGGGAUAACUAUUGGAAACGAUAGCUAAUACCGCAUAAUAGUAGAUGUUGCAUGACAUUUGCUUAAAAGGUGCAAUUGCAUCACUACCAGAUGGACCUGCGUUGUAUUAGCUAGUUGGUGAGGUAACGGCUCACCAAGGCAACGAUACAUAGCCGACCUGAGAGGGUGAUCGGCCACACUGGGACUGAGACACGGCCCAGACUCCUACGGGAGGCAGCAGUAGGGAAUCUUCGGCAAUGGACGGAAGUCUGACCGAGCAACGCCGCGUGAGUGAAGAAGGUUGUCGGAUCGUAAAGCUCUGUUGUAAGAGAAGAACGAGUGUGAGAGUGGAAAGUUCACACUGUGACGGUAUCUUACCAGAAAGGGACGGCUAACUACGUG